rnacentral:rRNA from 1 species
GAUGAACGCUGGCGGCGUGCCUAAUACAUGCAAGUCGAGCGAAUGGAUUAAGAGCUUGCUCUUAUGAAGUUAGCGGCGGACGGGUGAGUAACACGUGGGUAACCUGCCCAUAAGACUGGGAUAACUCCGGGAAACAGGGGCUAAUACCGGAUAACAUUUUGAACCGCAUGGUUCGAAAUUGAAAGGCGGCUUCGGCUGUCAUUUAUGGAUGGACCCGCGUCGCAUUAGCUAGUUGGUGAGGUAACGGCUCACCAAGGCAACGAUGCGUAGCAGACCUGAGAGGGUGAUCGGCCACACUGGGACUGAGACACGGCCCAGACUCCUACGGGAGGCAGCAGUAGGGAAUCUUCCGCAAUGGACGAAAGUCUGACGGAGCAACGCCGCGUGAGUGAUGAAGGCUUUCGGGUCGUAAAACUCUGUUGUUAGGGAAGAACAAGUGCUAGUUGAAUAAGCUGGCACCUUGACGGUACCUAACCAGAAAGCCACGGCUAACUACGUGCCAGCCGCCGCAGUAA